rnacentral:rRNA from 1 species
GAUGAACGCUGGCGGCGUGCCUAAUACAUGCCAGUCGAGCGAACAGACGAGGAGCUUGCUCCUCUGACGUUAGCGGCGGACGGGUGAGUAACACGUGGAUAACCUACCUAUAAGACUGGGAUACUUCGGGAAACCGGAGCUAAUACCGGAUAAUAUAUUGAACCGCAUGGUUCAAUAGUGAAAGACGGUUUUGCUGUCACUUAUAGAUGGAUCCGCGCCGCAUUAGCUAGUUGGUAAGGUAACGGCUUACCAAGGCAACGAUGCGUAGCCGACCUGAGAGGGUGAUCGGCCACACUGGAACUGAGACACGGUCCAGACUCCUACGGGAGGCAGCAGUAGGGAAUCUUCCGCAAUGGGCGAAAGCCUGACGGAGCAACGCCGCGUGAGUGAUGAAGGUCUUCGGAUCGUAAAACUCUGUUAUUAGGGAAGAACAAAUGUGUAAGUAACUAUGCACGUCUUGACGGUACCUAAUCAGAAAGCCACGGCUAACUACGUG